CAGUAGCCGCGGUAAUACGUAGGUGGCAAGCGUUGUCCGGAAUUAUUGGGCGUAAAGGGCUCGCAGGCGGUUUCUUAAGUCUGAUGUGAAAGCCCCCGGCUCAACCGGGGAGGGUCAUUGGAAACUGGGAAACUUGAGUGCAGAAGAGGAGAGUGGAAUUCCACGUGUAGCGGUGAAAUGCGUAGAGAUGUGGAGGAACACCAGUGGCGAAGGCGACUCUCUGGUCUGUAACUGACGCUGAGGAGCGAAAGCAUGGGGAGCGAACAGGAUUAGAUACCCCAGUAGUCCCUGUCUCUUAUAA
rnacentral:rRNA from 1 species